GAAAUGCGAUAAGUAAUGUGAAUUGCAGAAUUCAGUGAAUCAUCGAAUCUUUGAACGCACAUUGCGCCCGCCAGUAUUCUGGCGGGCAUGCCUGUUCGAGCGUCAUUUCAACCAUCAAGCCCCCGGCUUGUGUUGGGGACCUGCGGCUGCCCGCAGGCCCUGAAAAACAGUGGCGGGCUCGCUGUCACACCGAGCGUAGUAGCAUACAUUCUCGCUCAGGGCGUGCUGCGGGUUCCGGCCGAUAAACGACCUUCAUAACCCAAGGUUGACCUCGGAUCAGGUAGGAAGACCCGCUGAACUUAAGC
rnacentral:misc_RNA from 1 species